UACGGAGGGUGCAAGCGUUAUCCGGAUUCACUGGGUUUAAAGGGUGCGUAGGCGGAUUAGUAAGUCAGUGGUGAAAUCCCCGAGCUUAACUUGGGAACUGCCAUUGAUACUAUUAGUCUUGAAUACCGUGGAGGUUGACGGAAUAUGUCAUGUAGCGGUGAAAUGCUUAGAUAUGACAUAGAACACCAAUUGCGAAGGCAGUUGACUACGCGAGUAUUGACGCUGAGGCACGAAAGCGUGGGGAUCAAACAGG
rnacentral:rRNA from 1 species